GUGAUCCUCAUCACAAGGGGGUUACAAGUUUGACGCUUGACAAGCUAGGUGGAGGCUUGGAAAGGAAGCGGGUCAAACGAAGUAAAUAAGAAGUAAAAGCAUGUUUCGGAUGCAAGGAGCGAAUAGUAAUUGGGAUAAUUGCGUCGCCAUAGAAUAUCGGUAAUAAAAGCAAGGUGUCGAAACGGGUCACUAGGUU